CCUACGGGGGGCUGCAGUGGGGAAUAUUGCACAAUGGGCGCAAGCCUGAUGCAGCCAUGCCGCGUGUGUGAAGAAGGCCUUCGGGUUGUAAAGCACUUUCAGCGGGGAGGAAGGCGGUGAGGUUAAUAACCUCAUCGAUUGACGUUACCCGCAGAAGAAGCACCGGCUAACUCCGUGCCAGCAGCCGCGGUAAUACGGAGGGUGCAAGCGUUAAUCGGAAUUACUGGGCGUAAAGCGCACACAGGCGGUCUGUCAAGUCGGAUGUGAAAUCCCCGGGCUCAACCUGGGAACUGCAUUCGAAACUGGCAGGCUAGAGUCUUGUAGAGGGGGGUAGAAUUCCAGGUGUAGCGGUGAAAUGCGUAGAGAUCUGGAGGAAUACCGGUGGCGAAGGCGGCCCCCUGGACAAAGACUGACGCUCAGGUGCGAAAGCGUGGGGAGCAAACAGGAUUAGAUACCCGGGUAGUC
rnacentral:rRNA from 1 species